GGCAGUUCCUGUUGGACAUGCUCCAGCUGGGGGCUGAAAUGAAGGUAGGUGACACGGCCGGUCCCUGUGCUCAGCCCUCUGCUCUCCCCACGAGGGGCCCUGGCUGUCCACGGCUCGGCUUUGCCGUUGUGGGGGUCUCACUUGGACGCAGCAGGAGGCCUGGGCUCCCGGAGCUCCCGCUGCUUCACCCUGCUCACCACAGCUCGUGAGGUCCGCCCCCACCCCUCCCCACGCCGGCACGGAGAGCUGGGCUGUCGCAGACGAGCGUUUUCACCCACAGGGGGAGAAGGGCGACCGAGGCGAUGUCGGGCAGAAAGGAGAGAGAGGAGAGCCCUGGGGGAGUGGCUUCUUUGGCUCCAGCGUACCUGGACCCCCCGGCCCGCCGGGCUACCCUGGGAUCCCGGGUCCUAAAGGAGAGAGCAUCAGGGGCCAGCCCGGCCCACCUGGACCUCAGGGACCCCCUGGCAUCGGCUACGAGGGGCGCCAGGGGCCUCCUGGGCCCCCAGGCCCUCCAGGGCCCCCAGGCCCUCCUUCCUUUCCUGGCCCUUACAGGCAGAGUAAGUCUAGUGGGCAGUGGGCCUGAGCUCCAGCCUUGUCCAGCUGGGGCUGCCAUGUUCCCACCUCUGGUUCUCUCUCAUAGCUAUCAGCGUUCCUGGUCCCCCAGGUCCACCUGGCCCCCCAGGACCCCCUGGAACCAUGGGCACUUCCUCAGGGGUCAGGAUGUGGCCCACGUACCAGGCCAUGCUGGACAAGGUCCCUGA
rnacentral:lncRNA from 1 species